rnacentral:rRNA from 1 species
CCUACGGGGGGCAGCAGUGGGGAAUAUUGCACAAUGGGCGCAAGCCUGAUGCAGCCAUGCCGCGUGUGUGAAGAAGGCCUUCGGGUUGUAAAGCACUUUCAGCGGGGAGGAAGGCGUUAAGGUUAAUAACCUUGUCGAUUGACGUUACCCGCAGAAGAAGCACCGGCUAACUCCGUGCCAGCAGCCGCGGUAAUGCGGAGGGUGCAAGCGUUAAUCGGAAUUACUGGGCGUAAAGCGCACGCAGGCGGUCUGUCAAGUCGGAUGUGAAAUCCCCGGGCUCAACCUGGGAACUGCAUUCGAAACUGGCAGGCUAGAGUCUUGUAGAGGGGGGUAGAAUUCCAGGUGUAGCGGUGAAAUGCGUAGAGAUCUGGAGGAAUACCGGUGGCGAAGGCGGCCCCCUGGACAAAGACUGACGCUCAGGUGCGAAAGCGUGGGGAGCAAACAGGAUUAGAUACCCGAGUAGUC